AAAAGUGUGCUCAGACCGUUCCUCUGUGCCGUCAAAGAUAAAACAGUGUGUCGUGUACACGGUCUUUUUUUCUUUUUUUUUUAAACAAAAGCGUCAGAAGUUAGCGCAUUAAAUGCGUGCGCACACGCGUUUCGUUGGAAUUCACACGUCGAGAUGGACUUGACGUGCAUGAUUAUUUUGACGUUAAUAAAAUUGAUGCUAAACUGUACGUGUGACCAAUUCUACAUCAUUCAACUUUAAUACUCCAAAUUAACCACUGCUCCACUUGUGAAUAUUUAAAAACUGCAUACACUCAUAACUAAUUCCGUGUUAUUUAUAUUCUUUUUUUUAUUAGGAGAGUAUUUUCUUAAUCCUUAAAAAUUCUUUUAAUUUCUCCGAACUAGUUUACACUUUUUAUUACAUACAGUAAUUUUUUUGAAUGCGCAUACGGAAGUAUAAAGGUUGUAUAUAUAGGGUGUUUACUUUAUCCCGCACAUCGAAAUAUCAUCCUUACUUUUGCUAAUAUAAAAAUAUGUGUCAGGGUUGUGUAUUGUAGGUUAUUGCUAUCGUUUUCACAUUAACCCCUAUUUUUUUAUGACGCGGCACCGUGGUGCACAUCAAGGCGAAUUCAACGAAAUCUGACGCUAUGACCUUUAAAUGACCUUGAAUGGAAAAUUACACAAUCAAGAAAUUCAGAAAUUUUGGUUUUUCAUAAGUAAUAAAUUUAUUAAAUAUUUGAAAAAAAAUAACUUCGAGAAAAAUGAAACAUGAAUCACAAUAUUCUUAGCUUCGAACUAAACGUAGUUGUACUCGUACAUUUUUUUAUAUCAGGAAAAAUAACGAAGAUAUUUCAAUGUGCAAGAUAAAAUAAACACCCUGUGUAAUAAUCAUAUGCUAAGAAUAAAAACAUUUUUUUGUCUGUACAAUUUCAUGUACAUUUACACAUGUUUGGAAAUCUUUAAUCAACAGGAAUAUACAUAUAUACUAGGUGA